CUGAACAACACCUGCAGUCAUUAUAUUUCAUUUUGCUUAUUCAUGAAAUAGGAGGAGCAUCUUCUAGCCUCAUUACAUGUUAUUUUCAAUACUGUUGUUCAAAAGUGAUUAACUAUCUAUCUGAAAGCUAGUUUCAGGCCUUUUAAUUGGAAAAAAAAGUGUAAUCAGCUGAAAAUAUGUGCAAUCCGAAGACUAGUGACACUAGCAGACAUAAAAUGAAGUAGCCAUAAAAUUCAGGAUGAACACCUCUGUAUUUAAUGAAACUGCUGCAUCAUGAAUACAGAAGUCAGAGUUUGGGAACUGCGUUGUUAACUUUUACCAAAGCACAGCAUGUCUUGAGAACAGAAAAGCCCUUCACACCUAUUCGUGAUUGUUCUGUAGGACUACUAUACUGCCAUCAUACAGAAGAUAUUCAAGGGGUGUUUUGAGGGAUAACUUUAGAUCAAAGAGACUUUUAGGCUCCUACUAGUCAAUGAAACAGGUGCUCUAAACCACAUUCUGGAAGAGUCUUCCCACCUCUCUCCACAUGCAGAGCCUAGUUCCCUGUACCAAAAGGAAAUCCAAGUGCUUUACUUUUAAAACAAAACUGUAGAUAUUACUAAUUAUAACAUCACAGUUUCAGAAGACAAAGAAGUCAACAAUGCCUUAGAAUGGAUACCCGGCAUUUGUUUACUGAAUGUUUUACUAGUUCAAACUACACCACACAUGAAAUAGACAUUAUUCCUGGAUAUAAAAGUCUUUGUUUAAAACUUCAGGUAGGUGAAUACCUGAAGGAAUAAGCACCAUUUUUUCCCCUCUCACUGCAACUGCACUUGGCUGACUGUGAUUACUCACAUUGACUUUGGCUAGAGCAUUAGGAUUAAUCCCAGUUUUACAUACUGUUGUGGGCCUUUCAGUUGCCACAAAUACUUAGAACUUCUUUUACAGUCUUCCUGAGAAUGUAGUCUUAAGAGCUUCAUAUCCCCAUGUCCUGUUCUCAGAAAUACUAAUUCAGUGCUACUCCAGCAGUCAUUGUGGUGUUGAUUUCAUCAGCAUGCCUUUCCAGAGCUCAAAUAGGACAAGUACAUUCAAGGAACAGCCAGAUAGAAACAUUUUCUUUUAAUCCAUUACUUAAUCCACUUGUAAAAUGUUACUUUUUAUUCCAGGUAAAUGAUUCUAGUAGUACUAGAGAUUGUUCAGCUAUGAGUAGUUGUACAUCAAUACUGAUAAAGAAAAUAAAAGGUGGGGUUUGUUUGGGUUUUUUU